GAUGAACGCUGGCGGCGUGCCUAAUACAUGCAAGUCGAGCGAACAGAUGAGGAGCUUGCUCCUCUGACGUUAGCGGCGGACGGGUGAGUAACACGUGGAUAACCUACCUAUAAGACUGGGAUAACUUCGGGAAACCGGAGCUAAUACCGGAUAAUAUAUUGAACCGCAUGGUUCAAUAGUGAAAGACGGUUUUGCUGUCACUUAUAGAUGGAUCCGCGCCGCAUUAGCUAGUUGGUAAGGUAACGGCUUACCAAGGCAACGAUGCGUAGCCGACCUGAGAGGGUGAUCGGCCACACUGAACUGAGACACAGUCCAGACUCCUACGGGAGGCAGCAGUAGGGAAUCUUCCGCAAUGGGCGAAAGCCUGACGGAGCAACGCCGCGUGAGUGAUGAAGGUCUUCGGAUCGUAAAACUCUGUUAUUAGGGAAGAACAAAUGUGUAAGUAACUAUGCACGUCUUGACGGUACCUAAUCAGAAAGCCACGGCUAACUACGUG
rnacentral:rRNA from 1 species